rnacentral:rRNA from 1 species
GAUGAACGCUGGCGGCGUGCCUAAUACAUGCAAGUCGAGCGAACGGACGAGAAGCUUGCUUCUCUGAUGUUAGCGGCGGACGGGUGAGUAACACGUGGAUAACCUACCUAUAAGACUGGGAUAACUUCGGGAAACCGGAGCUAAUACCGGAUGAUAUUUUGAACCGCAUGGUUCAAAAGUGAAAGACGGUCUUGCUGUCACUUAUAGAUGGAUCCGCGCUGCAUUAGCUAGUUGGUAAGGUAACGGCUUACCAAGGCAACGAUGCAUAGCCGACCUGAGAGGGUGAUCGGCCACACUGGAACUGAGACACGGUCCAGACUCCUACGGGAGGCAGCAGUAGGGAAUCUUCCGCAAUGGGCGAAAGCCUGACGGAGCAACGCCGCGUGAGUGAUGAAGGUCUUCGGAUCGUAAAACUCUGUUAUUAGGGAAGAACAAAUGUGUAAGUAACUGUGCACGUCUUGACGGUACCUAAUCAGAAAGCCACGGCUAACUACGUG